rnacentral:rRNA from 1 species
GAUGAACGCUGGCUACAGGCUUAACACAUGCAAGUCGAGGGGAAACGACGGGGAAGCUUGCUUCCCCGGGCGUCGACCGGCGCACGGGUGAGUAACGCGUAUCCAACCUGCCUCUGACUGAGGGAUAACCCGUCGAAAGUCGGCCUAAUACCUCAUGGUAUCGUCUGCGGGCAUCCAACGACGAUUAAAGAUUUCAUCGGUCAGGGAUGGGGAUGCGUCUGAUUAGCUUGUUGGCGGGGUAACGGCCCACCAAGGCUACGAUCAGUAGGGGUUCUGAGAGGAAGGUCCCCCACAUUGGAACUGAGACACGGUCCAAACUCCUACGGGAGGCAGCAGUGAGGAAUAUUGGUCAAUGGGCGAGAGCCUGAACCAGCCAAGUAGCGUGCAGGAAGACGGCCCUAUGGGUUGUAAACUGCUUUUAUGCGGGGAUAAAGUGAGGGACGUGUCCCUCAUUGCAGGUACCGCAUGAAUAAGGACCGGCUAAUUCCGUGCCAGCAGCCGCGGUAAUACGGAAGGUCCUGGCGUUGUCCGGAUUUAUUGGGUUUAAAGGGAGCGUAGGCCGUGGAUUAAGCGUGUUGUGAAAUGCAGGUGCUCAACGUCUGCACUGCAGCGCGAACUGGUCCACUUGAGUGUGCGCAACGCAGGCGGAACUCGUCGUGUAGCGGUGAAAUGCUUAGAUAUGACGAAGAACUCCGAUUGCGAAGGCAGCCUGCGGGAGCACAACUGACACUGAAGCUCGAAAGUGCGGGUAUCGAACAGG